rnacentral:rRNA from 1 species
GACGAACGCUGGCGGCGCGCUUAACACAUGCAAGUCGAACGGAAAGGCCUGCGUUCCCUUGUGGAUUGCGGGUACUCGAGUGGCGAACGGGUGAGUAACACGUGAGUGAUCUUCCCCCAACUUGGGUAUAAGCCUGGGAAACUGGGUCUAAUUCCCGAUAGGACUGCAGGGUGGUGCCUGUGGUGGAAAACGAUUUUCUAGUGGUUGGGGAUGAGCUCGCGGCCUAUCAGCUGGUUGGUGGGGUAAUGGCCUACCAAGGCGGCGACGGGUAGCCGGCCUGAGAGGGUGGACGGGCAAAUUGGGACUGAGAUACGGCGCAGACGGCUACGGGAGGCAGCAGUGGGGAAUAAUGCACAAUGGGCGGAAGCCUGAUGCAGCGACGCCGCGUGGGGGAUGACGGCCUUCGGGUUGUAAACUCCUUUCGACCGAGAGGAAGCCACCUGGUUGGAAGGGUGGUGACGGUAGUGGUAGAAGAAGCACCGGCUAACUACGUG